rnacentral:rRNA from 1 species
CCUACGGGUGGCUGCAGUGGGGAAUAUUGGACAAUGGGCGAAAGCCUGAUCCAGCCAUGCCGCGUGUGUGAAGAAGGCCUUCGGGUUGUAAAGCACUUUCAGUGGGGAAGAAAGCCUUGGGGCUAAUACCCUCGAGGAAGGACAUCACCCACAGAAGAAGCACCGGCUAACUCCGUGCCAGCAGCCGCGGUAAUACGGAGGGUGCGAGCGUUAAUCGGAAUUACUGGGCGUAAAGCGCGCGUAGGCGGUCUGAUAAGCCGGUUGUGAAAGCCCCGGGCUCAACCUGGGAACGGCAUCCGGAACUGUCAGGCUAGAGUGCAGGCGAGGAAGGUAGAAUUCCCGGUGUAGCGGUGAAAUGCGUAGAGAUCGGGAGGAAUACCAGUGGCGAAGGCGGCCUUCUGGACUGACACUGACGCUGAGGUGCGAAAGCGUGGGUAGCAAACAGGAUUAGAUACCCUUGUAGUC